AUUGAACGCUAGCGGGAUGCCUUACACAUGCAAGUCGAACGGAGUGGCGAACGGGGGAGAAAUGUAUCGGAACGUGCCCAGUAGCGGGGGACAACUACGCGAAAGCGUAGCUAAUACCGCAUACUAUCGGAGCGGCCGAUGUCGGAUGGGCUAGGUGGUGGGGUAACGGCUCACCUAGGCGACGAUCCGUAGCGGGUUUGAGAGGACGACCAGCCACACUGGAACUGAGACACGGCCCAGACUCCUACGGGAGGCAGCAGUGGGGAAUUUUGGACAAGGGGGGAAACCCUGAUCCAGCCAUCCCGCGUGUGCGAUGAAGGCCUGCGGGUGGUAAAGCACUUUUGGCAGGAAAGCGGUACCUGCAGAAUAAGCACCGGCUAACUACGUGCCAGCAGCCGCGGUAAUUC
rnacentral:rRNA from 1 species